rnacentral:rRNA from 1 species
CCUACGGGGGGCUGCCGUGAGGAAUAUUGGUCAAUGGGCGGAAGCCUGAACCAGCCAAGUAGCGUGCAGGAUGACGGCCCUACGGGUUGUAAACUGCUUUUAUACGGGACUAACGCGCCUUACGUGUAGGGCUUUGCAUUUACCGUAUGAAUAAGGACCUGCUAAUUCCGUGCCAGCAGCCGCGGUCAUACGGAAGGUCCGGGCGUUAUCCGGAUUUAUUGGGUUGAAAGGGUGCGUAGGCGGGCCUUCAGGCCGGCGGUAAAAUUGCGGGGCUCAACCCCGCCGAGCCGUCGGAAACGGGGGCCUUGAGUACCGGAGAAGUACGCGGAAUGCGUGUUGUAGCGGUGAAAUGCAUAGAUAUCACGCAGAACCCCGAUUGCGAAGGCAGCGUACCGGCCGGUCACUGACGCUGAGGCACGAAAGCGCGGGUAUCGAACAGGAUUAGAUACCCUUGUAGUC